rnacentral:tRNA from 1 species
GCCCCGGUGGUGCAACAGUUAAGCACUUGGCUGCUAACCAAAGGGUUGGUGGCUCGAACUCACCCAGUGGCU